UCGAUUGAGUUUGAUCAUGGCUCAGGACGAACGCUGGCGGCGUGCUUAACACAUGCAAGUCGAGCGGUAAGGCCCUUUUGGGGGUACACGAGCGGCGAACGGGUGAGUAACACGUGGGUGACCUGCCUUCAGCUCUGGGAUAAGCUUGGGAAACUGGGUCUAAUACCGGAUAUGACUGUCUGCCGCAUGGUGGGUGGUGGAAAGUUCUUGGGCUUUGGUCUGGGUUCGGCUGGGGAUGGGCCUGCGGCCUAUCAGCUUGUUGGUGGGGUGAUGGCCUACCAAGGCGACGACGGGUAGCCGGCCUGAGAGGGCGACCGGCCACACUGGGACUGAGACACGGCCCAGACUCCUACGGGAGGCAGCAGUGGGGAAUAUUGCGCAAUGGGCGGAAGCCUGACGCAGCGACGCCGCGUGGGGGAUGACGGCCUUCGGGUUGUAAACCUCUUUCGCCAUCGACGAAGGUUCUGUGGUUGUGAGGCUGCAGGGUUGACGGUAGGUGGAGAAGAAGCACCGGCCAACUACGUGCCAGCAGCCGCGGUAAUACGUAGGGUGCGAGCGUUGUCCGGAAUUAUUGGGCGUAAAGAGCUCGUAGGCGGUGUGUCGCGUCGGCCGUGAAAACCUGCAGCUUAACUGUGGGCGUGCGGUCGAUACGGGCAUCACUGGAGUUCGGCAGGGGAGA
rnacentral:rRNA from 1 species